AUCCUGGCUCAGGAUGAACGCUGGCGGCGUGCCUAACACAUUCAAGUCGAACGGUGAAGGGACUUCGGUCCCGGAUCAGUGGCGGACGGGUGAGUAACGCGUGAGCAACCUGCCUUUGCUUGGGGGAUAACGUUUGGAAACGAACGCUAAUACCGCAUAAAACAGCAUUCCGGCAUCGGGAAGCUGUCAAAGAUUUAUUGAGCAGAGAUGGGCUCGCGUCCGAUUAGAUAGUUGGUGAGGUAACGGCUCACCAAGUCGACGAUCGGUAGCCGGACUGAGAGGUUGAACGGCCACAUUGGAACUGAGAUACGGUCCAGACUCCUACGGGAGGCAGCAGUGGGGAAUAUUGGGCAAUGGGCGAAAGCCUGACCCAGCGACGCCGCGUGAAGGAAGAAGGCCCUCGGGUUGUAAACUUCAGUCAACAGGGAAGAAACAAAUGACGGUACCUGUGGAGGAAGCCACGGCUAACUACGUGCCAGCAGCCGCGGUAAUACGUAGGUGGCAAGCGUUAUCCGGAUUUACUGGGUGUAAAGGGUGUGUAGGCGGGUCUGCAAGUCAGAUGUGAAAACUAUGGGCUCAACUCAUAGCUUGCAUUUGAAACUGUGGAUCUUGAGUGUCGGAGAGGUAAAUGGAAUUCCCGGUGUAGAGGUGAAAUUCGUAGAUAUCGGGAGGAACACCAGUGGCGAAGGCGGUUUACUGGACGAUUACUGACGCUGAGACACGAAAGUGUGGGGAGCAAACAGGAUUAGAUACCCUGGUAGUCCACACUGUAAACGAUGAAUGCUAGGUGUAGGGGCGAUUGAGCUUCUGUGCCGCAGUUAACACAAUAAGCAUUCCACCUGGGGAGUACGGCCGCAAGGUUGAAACUCAAAGGAAUUGACGGGAGCCCGCACAAGCAGUGGAGUAUGUGGUUUAAUUCGACGCAACGCGAAGAACCUUACCGGAACUUGACAUCCCGAGAAUGCCGAUGUAAUGUUGGCAGUGCCCCUUCGGGGGAAUUCGGUGACAGGUGGUGCAUGGUUGUCGUCAGCUCGUGUCGU
rnacentral:rRNA from 1 species